AAAAAAGGCUUCUUUGUGGAUUUUCGCAUCACUUUGACAGGUUGGCCUCAGAAGAUGGCUGAGAAACAAGUUAGGAAAAGAAACAGUCUUGCAUCCUAGACCUGUCCUGCCCUACAGAGCAUGACUUAGGACAAGCUUUCACAUCUCUCUUUAUUUCUACUCCAGAACAAUUUACAGCCUUGCUCACAAGGCUUUUGCCGAAUUUUACAAGGUCAAAAAUGAUGUGAUGGAGGAAAGGAGCUUGAGAGAAAUAGAAAGAGUAAAACAUGUUUUAUUCAAAGGGUGGCUUCCUUUGAGGAAAGCAUUCUUCCUUUUAGGGUCACCUUUAAUCUUGAAGUUUAAGGAGUCUUGAGGCUUAGAGUGAAAACUUUGCUCAUCUUUUCAGCUCUCCCCUGUGGGCUAAGGACUCUUAGGCUGGUUUUAAUGCUUUUUACCAAUUCAGGAAUACUCAGACUCCUCCUAAUAGCCACUCACCCUGCAGGCUGGCUGUCCAUGGGAACAGGUCUGUAUGUCAGCAGAUUGUAUGAUUCAGUCGGGUUACUUACAUAAGAUCUUUUUCACAUUCUGAGAUAAUACUGAUGAAUAAUUAUUGCCUCUAUCAAAACAAAACAAAACAAAACAAAACAAAACAAAACACAGAGACCUUGCCCUUUUCUUCUAUAGGCUUCUUUAAAACUGGCUUAAGGAAAGAGGGGUGUCUUCAGUCUGUGCUCUGUAUCUCUCUCUAGGGGAAGGGAAAUUACUCAUCCUAACUUCUCCCAGCAGUUGUCCAAUGUGCUCUAACACUGAGCUGGCAUCUGAGGAGUGAAAGGACUCCGGAAAGAUAAAACGUGAUGCUUUGCUUUAAUCUGCUGCUUUACUUUCUCAGGUCAGGUGAUUCAGGCAUUCUUGAGUAAUUUAAUUCCAAUAUCAACUCUUGUCCUCCUAUUUUUUUCAUCACCUUACUUAUUCCAAGAACCCUCAGCCAUCUACUCUUCCUGUUGAUACUGUGAGCAAUUAUUACCUGCUCAGUUCUUAUCUCACUUUGUAUUUAUUUACUCCCAGAUUCACAGGUAGGGACCACUAUUUCCUCUACUCAGAAGAGACUGAGGCUAGAAGGGUAGGUAAUUUGCCCAGGGCCCCACAGGCUAUUUUACAGUAGUCAGGCUGCAAGUCUAUCUUUGACUAACUGUAAUACAGCAGGGCUACAAAAAAUCAAAUUAGCAAGCACUUAGAGGACAUUUGCAACAUUUAAGACAAUGUGUUAGAUGGAAAAGAAAAAGAGAGAGAGAGGACAGAAAUAAAGCCUCAAAUAGCAUUAUAAGAAUUAAUAAAACAUUGGAGGGGGCAAUAAAAAUAUCCUCCAAAUCACAGAGCAGUUCUGAUGCAAUGCUGAUGAAUGGCAUGCCCAAUUUAUGUGCUGUCAAUUAAGGGGAAUAAUUUAGGAUCUGAGAGCAGAUAUAAAAAGAGCAAGGGCAGCACCGUUUUCUUGUGUUGAAGGGUUCACAUUACUCUGGCUUUUUUUUCAUAGAAAUAUUUAAAUGUGUUGUAUCUUCUUUGACUAUCUGGGUGUAUAGGUCUCCCUCAAAACACUUAAGAGCUAAGCUCUGAGUGAAUAGCUUGCUAACUGAAUUUCCAAUAAUGCCGGCAUCUUAUUGUCUUGCAUAGUGACUCCUUGGCCAGCCAGCUUGUUUGUAGAAACCUCAAGUUUUAGAAUUGAUUGUCAAAGGUAGUUAACACUAGAGAUUAUGAAAAUAUAGUAAUAAUGUUCAUAUUUGUUGUCACAAGGUAUAAUUCCAAGGAUUUCACAUGUUUUAAUCUGUUGUAAGUCUCAUGAGAACCCUGAGAUACAGAACUCUGGUAGAGCUACUAGACAUUCACCAAAGCCUGGUUUCUUGUCUUCUGACCCGUAGUCUUGUAGACUUGUAGUCUGUCUUGCAGUUAACUAUCACUUUGUGACUGUAUCACUAUAAUGUGAACUGGAAAUUUUCCAUUUCCAGUCUGGGAACAUGUAUGCCUUCCACACAAUCUUUCAUGCUCUUUUCUACUUCCAGUUGGCUGAAAUGGUGAUGCUCCCUCCCUUUUCCCCAACAUACACAUGUGUGCAUGUAUGCGCACACACACACACACACACACACACACACACACUAUGGUGUCUUUGGGAUUUACAUACUAAAGUUAACACUGCAGAAUAAAAGGAGCCCACUUGCAGAAGAGCCACCCAACCAGGGAUAUACAUUAGACUGUUCUGGGAACAAGAUACACUAUUUCAAUGAUUAGGCCACUGACAUUUGGGAUUUACCCAUUACAGCAUCAAGCCCACUAUAAGACAUAUGUUACUGUUUCUCCCAUUUUACUGCUGAGGAACUGAGGUUCACAGAGCUUAGGUAACUUGCCUGGGAACUUUUGAGGAACCAAGAUUUUAAACCAGGAGAUCUGAUUCUAGAGCCCAAGCAUUUAUCCAGUGUACUAAGUAGGAACUUACCUCAUCCCUUUCUUCUUAGAUGUGAUAUGAGGUACACUCUGGUUAAAACUAAGUCAUUAAUGAUUCUGUGCAAAAUAUUCACUACUAUAUUCUUUAAUGUAAGCAAGCUCUUUGAGCCAAGUAGAAUUUUAAGCAGCAGCUAGGAGUUUAAAAAAGAUGUGAAUCUUCCUUUGUUUUCAUAGAGCCUCAUGCUUAUUGUUUUCUGCUGGUUUUAAGUUUGGGAGCAUAGUCAGUCUUACCAGUUAAUGGUUGGACUUGGGGUAAGGAAAGGUAGAUGCAAAGUUACUGUUGCCCAUGAGGUAUCAGCUCUGCUGUUGGCAAGGCCGUGCGCAUUUUGUGAAUUAGAACACUUAGAAAGGAAUCAAGAAAAGAAGAAAACAAACAAAAACAAAAUUCAAUACAGCAUUUAUCCUCUUUCUGACCUUUCACAUUUUGAAGGGAAUACUAAUCAAUUAAAAAAUAUGUUAGAGUAGGUUUCUAAAUUUCUAUAAUAAAAUUAAUGUAGAU
rnacentral:lncRNA from 1 species